rnacentral:rRNA from 1 species
GUUGGAAACCAAUGCCCUAAAGGCACCAGAUCCUGUUUGAUCUUGGAAAGCUAAGUAGGGUCAAACCUGGUUACUAUUUGGAUGGAAGACUGCCAAUAAAUACUGGGUGUUGUAGGCU